rnacentral:rRNA from 1 species
AUUGAACGCUGGCGGCAUGCUUUACACAUGCAAGUCGAACGGUAACAGGUUAAGCUGACGAGUGGCGAACGGGUGAGUAAUGCAUCGGAACGUGCCCAGUCGGUGGGGGAUAACGCAGCGAAAGCUGUGCUAAUACCGCAUACGAUCUAUGGAUGAAAGCGGGGGACCAUAAGGCCUCGCGCGAUUGGAGCGGCCGAUGUCAGAUUAGGUAGUUGGUGGGGUAAAGGCCUACCAAGCCGACGAUCUGUAGCUGGUCUGAGAGGACGACCAGCCACACUGGGACUGAGACACGGCCCAGACUCCUACGGGAGGCAGCAGUGGGGAAUUUUGGACAAUGGGCGCAAGCCUGAUCCAGCAAUGCCGCGUGCAGGAAGAAGGCCUUC